AGCGAACGCUGGCGGCAGGCCUAACACAUGCAAGUCGAACGAACACUUCGGGGUUAGUGGCGGACGGGUGAGUAACACGUGGGGACGUGUCCUUAGGUUCGGAAUGGCUCAGGGAAAGUUUUGCUAAUAGCGAAUGUGCCUUACGGGGGAAAGAUUUGUCGACUGUAGAGCGGCCCGCGGCUGAUUAGCUAGUUGGUGGGGUAAUGGCUCUGCAAGGCUACGAUCAGUAGAUGGUCUGAGAGGAUGACCCGCAACAUUGAGACUGAGACACGGCCCAAGCUCCUACGGGAGGCAGCAGUGGGGAAACUGGCGCAAUGGGCGAAAGCGUGACGCAGCGAUGCCGAGUGGAGGAUGAAGGUCUUAGGAUUGUAAAAUGCUUUCGCCGGUCAAGAGGCUGACAGUAACCGGAGAAGAAGCCCUGGCUAACUUCGUGCCAGCCGCCGCCGUAAGAC
rnacentral:rRNA from 1 species